AGAGUUUGAUCCUGGCUCAGAACGAACGCUGGCGGCGCGUUUUAAGCAUGCAAGUCGAGCGGCAAGGGCCUUCGGGCCCCUAGAGCGGCGGACGGGUGAGUAACACGUGGACAAUCUGCCCCCCGGUCCGGGAUAGCCCAGGGAGACCUGGAUUAAUACCGGAUGAGACGGGACCCGCGAGGGCGGGAUCCGGGAAAGGCGCUACGGCGCCGCCGGGGGAUGAGUCUGCGUCCCAUUAGCUAGACGGCGGGGUAACGGCCCACCGUGGCGUCGAUGGGUAGCCGGCCUGAGAGGGUGAACGGCCACAUUGGAACUGAGACACGGUCCAGACUCCUACGGGAGGCAGCAGCUAAGAAUCUUCCGCAAUGGGCGAAAGCCUGACGGAGCGACGCCGCGUGAACGAAGAAGGCCGUGAGGUUGUAAAGUUCUUUUCGGGAGGGGGAACAACCGUGGCAGGGAAUGGCCGCGGGAUGACGUGAAUCCCGGAAUAAGCCCCGGCUAACUACGUGCCAGCAGCCGCGGUAAUACGUAGGGGGCGAGCGUUGUCCGGAUUUACUGGGCGUAAAGGG
rnacentral:rRNA from 1 species